CAUAACUCGCUUGAAAAUUAAAAUAUCGUAGAAAACCUAAUGUACAAAUAUAGACAAUAUCCUCGCAUUUAAGUUUAAUAAUAAACAAAUACACCCUAACACUAAAAACUAUCAUCCCGCAAUCGAUUUUUAUAAACAAACAAGUAUAAAUAUAAACACAUUAUUAACCGAUUUCACAACAUUGUCCGUAACAUAUUAUAAUGCGUACCGCCUGUACCUACGAAAUAACCGUCUUUGUAAACUAUUCAAACGUUCUCCGUUCGGAUUGUAUAAUAAUACAAAGCUGCUGGGUUCGAGAGUGAUUAUUAUUUUUUUUAUCAUAUCAUUAGAAAUUCCUGAACCCAGCAGCUUAUCGUCGCCUGUUGUAUUUUGCGCCCGUAUUUUAUAGCUACAGGUCGGUAAAAAAGCUAAUGUUCGAAAAGUAUACCGACCACACGAAUCGCAGCAGCCGUGGUGCAAUCCCGGUCGGUUAAACUACGACUAAAAACUCAUUUGCGGAAGUGAUUUCCC